rnacentral:rRNA from 1 species
CAGUAGCCACGGUAAUACGUAGGUGGCAAGCGUUGUCCGGAUUUAUUGGGCGUAAAGCGAGCGCAGGCGGUCAAUUAAGUCUGAUGUGAAAGCCCCCGGCUCAACCGGGGAGGGUCAUUGGAAACUGGGAAACUUGAGUGCAGAAGAGGAGAGUGGAAUUCCACGUGUAGCGGUGAAAUGCGUAGAGAUGUGGAGGAACACCAGUGGCGGAGGCGACUCUUUGGUCUGUAACUGACGCUGAGGAGCGAAAGCGUGGGGAGCGAACAGGAUUAGAUACCCCAGUAGUCCCUGUCUCUUAUAC